ACUUGCCGCAGUGUUCCUGUCAGCGCUGGGUGCAGGGCCGGUGGCUGAGCUGCCUCCUCGCUCGGUGUUUGCUGAAACAAACCUGAAAGCAGAAGCAGAUUACUGACAUAUCAGCACUAGCCCAGAGGCCCCCCCCUCUCCCGCAUCUUCAGGAUAGCUGUUUCAGCCCUGCUCUUUUCUUUCCUGCCCUCUCCCAGGCACGCAGAUGGAUUGUUACACACUCUCUGAUGCUGCAGGUUUGCGUCUUCUGCUGAGAAGGGAAGUGAAGCAGUGCUCCCCACUUCCUGGCUCACUCUUCUGGCCCCUGUUUCAAACAAGGGCUUCUCACCCACCUGCAUUUUCAGAAUACUACAGAUAUGUUGGGGUGGAGGGCAGGAGAGCAAGCAGCUGAUUCUAUCCAUGUACUCACUGAUGUAAAUAGUCUUUAUCCUUGAAGAAAUACAUGCAGUGAAGAAAAACCUGGCAGGAAGUUGUACUGCUUUUAGGAUAAGUUCUCAUUCACAUGCCUUACAAUACUGAUAAAUAUAUCAAGUGGAAUAUAUACCAGCCUGUAUGUGAAGUAUAUGCAAGGUCAACAUGUUGUUAACAUGACUGCUCUGUCCACUGUAGUCCUAGUCUACACUCCUCUCCUCCUCAUGCUCCACAGUAAUCAUGUUGUGGGAAGGCUGCAAGACACUGGAAAAACAACAAGCACAUUUGCCUUUUGAAGCAAGUAAGGCCUCAGCAUAAAGCUAUGUAUGUGCCUAAGUGCUGAAGAGCUGGAAUUUAAUAUAUAUUUUGCAACUAGAGGCUGGCAGUGUGACAUUUCUGAAUUUCCUUCAGCACCAGCAUAUCUUGAUCGGAAGCAAAUACCAGCAAUGUCACCAAGCUGAGCAGUGCUGACAGCUGCAAAUGGGGAGUCACGUUCUUGUUGGAGCCUAUUUCAAUUUUCAGAGCAUGCUGAUGCAACACGCUGCAGUUGUGCUGAGUAAACGUUUUAUGCUUUGUCUCAUCUAGCACAUACUAUGCAAUCUGAAAUAUCAGCUGAGCAGCAGUUACCACAGACAUUACGAUAUCAGUGAAUCAACAGAAACCACACAGUUACAUCUAGAACAUCUAUUUCCUGAUUUGGGUUGAGAUGAACACUGAAGAACUCAGCAACCACAGUGCUGUAAUUUUUGGUGAAAGGAAGUUGGUUAUUUCUAAGAGCAACUGAAUGACGGCAUUACUGUUGAGUCUAAAAAAUACCCUCAUGUGGCUUAAAUUAAGAUUAUAAAUGAUUAUGCAUUAGCCCAGAUGUGGCUAAGUGAGGUGCAUAGAAACGGUUGUAGGUACAAGAAGUUAACAGCUGAGCAAGAGGCAUACAUACAGAACUCGACCCACAGCAUGCAGAAAAUGGGGCCUCUGGACCAUUUGUCCAUGGCAAAUUGAUACAGUGAAGCCUGUAUUUGUCCUAUAUUUGUUCCCAGUCUUGCAAUCGGUGAGAACUUUCUGAGCACUCCCUGGGGCAUAUAGAAUGCUUCUGCUGAUGGCUGCCAUGUAGGUAUAGAAAGCGCUUCUCAAAACGAAGGACAGAUUGAGGGCUGCUCUGGGGCACAGUCACAACUGCUCUGCAUUCUUCAGCUUUUACUAGUAUGAACUUGGAUUUAAAAGACUACUCCUGACUUUAUCACUGCCAAAUGUUUCUUUUUCUUAAUCUAGCAUUGUAAGAACUGAAAAUAGAUGGGAUGUAUGGAGGCUGUCUGGUCCAAAGCAUUUUUUAUUACACCAAGAAUAGGAAUCCCACUGCCUCUCUUGACAAUGUGUUCUAGCAUUUGAUUGCCCUAACUGUAAAGAAUUAUUUCCUUAUAUCUAGCAAGAAUUUUCCUUACUACAGUUUUGUCGGAUGCCUCUCAUUCUUUCAAGAAGGGUAUGGAUCCAUCUUCCCCACAUCUAAUCACCAGGUUGUCAAAGGAGUGAAAACUCAGAGCAAUAUAUUGUCCAGAUGGCAGCCAAGGCCCAUACUUACAUCAAGCAGAUACCUUUCCCUUGGAGAACAGAUGCAGUGUUGAGGGACACAAUGAGGAGGGGGUGAUGGUACAAAUAAUGAUGAGAUUCUUGUGAUUAAUAUCACAUUUAAAUCUACAUAAAGAACAACGCUGCACUUCAGAAAUUUCUCAUGCUCUUAAGGGAUUUGGAGCGCAAGUUGUUUGAUGAGGAACCUGGGAUGGAUUCAGUUUCGGAACGGAAAGGGUCCUUUGAGUGCAUGGCCUAAGAGGAAAUAUGUGUUCUACUCCAGCACAGUGCCACAGGUAUUCUUCCACUCUGCACAAGAUGCAGUAUAUUCAGUCACAACUGAACCUUCCAGGAUUUUAGUGCUGGAUGAAGGCUGUCUGCUGAAUGAAUGAGCUGCAGUUGCCACAGAAGAACAUGAAUGAGCAGUUGUAUGAGGCUCCAAACCAACACAUGAUUCUAAUCAUGAUGCUGGACUGAAGAUAGCAACGACUAUUUUGGAAUAAAAGAAAAGACCAGUUGAGAGGUGCUAGAUAUGUGGUUGAUAAUUAAUGUUCUUGCUGGAGGCUGGCCAUGUUUCCAUAAAAAGAAAACUAGACUAACACAGAUAAAAUAGAAAGGAAAAGAACAGCAGUGAUUGAAAACACAGCUUUUGGUUUUGGUCCUGAUUGUUACUGGCAACCUCAAUGCUAGAGAAAAACAGGUUCAGCAGAGUUUUAGCAGCCACUGUGAGACUUGGCAAAUAUACCAGCACUGUGCUGUUUAAGACAUCUAUUUUUGCUGCCUUUUUGGACACAGGCUCACUGCAGCAAAAAAAAAAGGUUAGCUAAGAUGCUCUGUUUUUAAAUGAAAGCUAACAUCAAGGAGUGAAAAUAAGAUAGACAACAAU
ensembl:lncRNA